GACGAACGCUGGCGGCGUGCUUAACACAUGCAAGUCGAACGGAAAGGCCCUGCUUUUGUGGUGUGCUCGAUUGGCGAUCGGGUGAGUAACACGUGAGUAACCUGCUCUUGACUUUGGGAUAACUUCAGGAAACUGGGGCUAAUACCGGAUAGGAGCUCCUGCUGCAUGGUGGGGGUUGGAAAGUUUCGGCGGUUGGGGAUGGACUCGCGGCUUACCAGCUUGUUGGUGGGGUAGUGGCUUACCAAGUCUUUGAAGGGUAGCCGGCCUGAGAGGGUGAACGGCGACAUGGGGACUGAGAUACGGCCCAGACUCCUACGGGAGGCAGCAGGGGGGAAUAUUGCACAAUGGGCGGAAGCCUGAUGCGGCAACGCCGCGUGCGGGAUGACGGCCUUCGGGUUGUAAACCGCUUUCGCCUGUGACGAAGCGUGAGUGACGGUAAUGGGUGAAGAAGCACCGGCUAACUACGUG
rnacentral:rRNA from 1 species